GCAUGGACGAAUUCUGCAUUAGCUUUUUCCAGUAGCUAAUGCAGUCAGACACUAUGCAAGAACAUGUUCCCUUUUCACACACAGAUUGGUAUGCAUUUUGUUUGGAAAUGGGCAUGCCUGUGAAAGUGGGAUACAC
rnacentral:snoRNA from 1 species